rnacentral:rRNA from 1 species
GAGUCGAGAGUCUUCGGGACUCGGCGGACCGCUCAGUANCACGUGGAUAACAUACCCUUGGGAGGGGGAUAACCUCGGGAAACUGAGACUAAUACCCCAUAGGUCCAGAAUGCUGGAAUGCUUCUGGGCUGAAAGCUCCGGCGCCCAAGGAUUGGUCUACGGCCUAUCAGGCUGUAGUGGGUGUAACGGACCCACUAACCUAUGACGGGUAUGGGCCUUGAGAGAGGGAGCCCAGAGAUGGACUCUGAGACAUGAGUCCAGGCCCUACGGGGUGCAGCAGUCGCGAAAACUUCACAAUGGGAGCAAUCCCGAUGAGGGAAUUCCAAGUGCCAACACACUGUGUUGGCUGUUCUCCUGUCUAAAAAGCAGGAGAAGUAAGGGCCGGGUAAGACGGGUGCCAGCCGCCGCGGUAAUACCCGCGGCCCGAGUGGUGGUCGAUAUUAUUGAGCCUAAAACGUCCGUAGCCGGUCUCGUAAAUCCCUGGGUAAAUCGGCCAGCUCAACUGUCCGAAUUUCGGGGAGACUGCGGGACUUGGGACCGGGAGAGGUCAGAGGUACUUCCGGGGUAGGGGUAAAAUCCUGUAAUCCUGGAAGGACCACCGGUGGCGAAGGCGUCUGACUAGAACGGAUCCGACGGUGAGGGACGAAGCCCUGGGGCGCAAACGGGAUUAGAUACCCCGGUAGUCCAGGGUGUAAACGCUGCGGGCUUGGUGUUGGGGGUCCUUUGAGGGCGCCCAGUGCCGGAGAGAAGUUGUUAAGCCU